UCCUGGGUGGCUUAGUCGGUUGAGCAUCUGACUUCCUCUCAGGUCAUGAUCUCAUGGUUUGUGAGUUCAAGCCUCACAUCGGGUU
rnacentral:tRNA from 1 species